GAUGAACGCUGGCGGCGUGCCUAAUACAUGCAAGUCGAGCGAACAGACGAGGAGCUUGCUCCUCUGACGUUAGCGGCGGACGGGUGAGUAACACGUGGAUAACCUACCUAUAAGACUGGGAUAACUUCGGGAAACCGGAGCUAAUACCGGAUAAUAUAUUGAACCGCAUGGUUCAAUAGUGAAAGACGGUUUUGCUGUCACUUAUAGAUGGAUCCGCGCCGCAUUAGCUAGUUGGUAAGGUAACGGCUUACCAAGGCAACGAUGCGUAGCCGACCUGAGAGGGUGAUCGGCCACACUGGAACUGAGACACGGUCCGGACUCCUACGGGAGGCAGCAGUAGGGAAUCUUCCGCAAUGGGCGAAAGCCUGACGGAGCAACGCCGCGUGAGUGAUGAAGGUCUUCGGAUCGUAAAACUCUGUUAUUAGGGAAGAACAAAUGUGUAAGUAACUAUGCACGUCUUGACGGUACCUAAUCAGAAAGCCACGGCUAACUACG
rnacentral:rRNA from 1 species